GGCGAACGGGUGAGUAACACGUGGGUGAUCUGCCCUGCACUUCGGGAUAAGCCUGGGAAACUGGGUCUAAUACCGGAUAGGACGAUGGUUUGGAUGCCAUUGUGGAAAGUUUUUCGGUGUGGGAUGAGCUCGCGGCCUAUCAGCUUGUUGGUGGGGUAAUGGCCUACCAAGGCGUCGACGGGUAGCCGGCCUGAGAGGGUGGACGGCCACAUUGGGACUGAGAUACGGCCCAG
rnacentral:rRNA from 1 species